rnacentral:lncRNA from 1 species
GAAAAGGCGUAUUGCCUCCGUCGUGCUGCUGAUUGGCUGGCUAACGGGGUAAGAGCGUGCUGCGCCAGGACAGCUUGAAGAAAGCCGCAUGUAAACAUCAGGAUCGGCUUCCGAUUUUUAAAGUUGGUGCCCCGCCAGACCGCCCAAAAAAACUAUCCUGCGUCUCUCGACGUAAGUGGAGGCCCGCCAGUCUCCCUCUGACUCAUUGCUAUCUUGGAUUAGGGGCUAAUCCCUCACGGAUCACCAUGGAGAAUUGGCCCUUGCUUGAGAGGGAAUGAAGCAUGAAAUCAAAGAAGUCUUUCCUGACCGACUUUAAAUGAUCUAGAUUCCGAGCAGACACACCUUGGACUGAAUAUCCACACGACCCUACCACUUCUGGAAAAGAGGGCCUCUUUUGAACCAGCCGCAGUUCCAACGCCAGCAGAGCAAGGCCAGACGCAUUCCCAACACCCCUCCCGCAGACAAUGACAAAAACCCAGAACCAAACCAAGAACAAUACGCAUAGUUCAGAGGACCCUCAUAUCGUCAGUGUGGAGGCAUGUCACAACUGCUGAUCAACACCAAAGUCCCACUAGAGGCCCUCAUCAAACUCUGCAAAAGCAAGAGUAACAGCGGAUCCCAAAUAACCCAUUAUCAGGACCAGUGUUAAUAUCCAAAUGACAAUUUGCAGAUGGCUGUACAUGGUCACCUCCCCAUGGGGGAGGUCUAACUAUUGAUAGCAUAUGGAACUGAAUGUACAGACAACUGCCCCCACAGUAGCACUAAAAUGAAUCACACAUCACGUCUGUGAGAGCCCUGUCGCUUGACGGUUCUACGUUUUGUUUUCCUUUCUUCUCCAGCCUUGCAAUGACACAGAUAUUUGGAAAAUAUUUUGGUUGAAUCCAGAACAGAGGGGUGUAUUCAUUCUGCCUAAGAAAACAAUUAGUGGUAAAAUAUUUC